rnacentral:rRNA from 1 species
AAUGAACGUUGGCGGCGUGGAUUAGGCAUGCAAGUCGAGCGUACCCAGCAAUGGGGAAGCGGCAAACGGGGUAGUAAGGCCAUCGGAAACGUACCCUCUUGUUGGGAAUAGCCGCGGGAAACUGCGAGUAAUGCCCAAUAAUCCCUACGGGGCAAAGGUCCGCCGCAGGAGGAGCGGCCGAUGUGAUACCAGCUAGUUGGUGAGGUAAUGGCUCACCAAGGCUUAGACGUCUAGGGGGUGUGAGAGCAUGGCCCCCACCACUGGGACUGAGAUACUGCCCAGACACCUACGGGUGGCUGCAGUCGAGAAUCUUCGGCAAUGGGCGCAAGCCUGACCGAGCAACGCCGCGUGCGGGAUGAAGGCCCUUGGGUUGUAAACCGCUGUCAGGGGGGAUGAAAGCGCAAGCUUGACAGAGCCCCAGAGGAAGCACGGGCUAAGUUCGUG